CAUAAAAGGGGUGGGUACACCGUCACACACGUUCAUUGAAAAUGGAGGUAAAGAUCAUACUGGCAGUACCUAAUUUCCCUGACCUAUAAUAAUAACAAGCCGUUUUCUAUUGCGUUUGUUAGUAAUCAUACUUUCUGAAAGAUCCGGUAAAUUUCCAGCUGUCGCGUCGUUUCAUUGAUUGCUUCUGGUGUGCACUGUGUUUCCGCAGCGAAUUGUUGUAUAACCCCAGUAAAAAUCGUGUCGUGUCUGGUGUUUGCGGGCCAUUAGUCUGAGUUUAGAAGAAAAAAAAAAAAAAAACAGACACUGUAUGUGCCAAGUUUUUACAUUUUUGGUGGGUGCCCAGAACAAACAAGACUUGGAGUGACAGCAUUUGAGGAUGAGGGGAGGUAGAAACCUCCAACAUGAGGGGGAAGAGUAAGAAUGAAGACAGGCUCCUUGUGGAGGGGACGCUGCCGGCUGAUUUGCAGAGGGGUGGAUGAGGUUGUUGUACCGGUGUGUAGAAUGCAGAACACUCCCUAGACAGCUGGGCAAGCCUGCUUUCCAGCAUCUGCAUGGAACACAGUCCCUCAAAGCCUCUCUUAUGUGUUCAUUUCCUGGUUGGGUAUGGCACUUAUCUGCUUAUCCUCCACUGGAAUGUUGAUCUUGCAUAAAACGCAUGAGUGAAACCCAGGCAUGGUGCAGGGACCCGUAUACAGAACAAUAAUUCAGGAAAUGCUGUAAAAAAUUGAAGUGCAGAUAUAUUUAGGUAUAUACGGAACUAGCUGUCUGGGUGUUGGAAAACACACUGAAAGCACAAGCAGAGAUGCACUAGAAUAAAGAGCAAUCUCUGUCUCUUAUAUAAUGGUUCCCAACCCAGGAUAGGAGCCGUCAGGGGGCUCGGAGCCAAACUGUACAGGCUCGGUACUGAGCCGUGGAGGCAGGGGGAGGUGCACAGAAAAGUGAAUGGUGCAUAGGGACCACUUUUCAAGAAUAUAUAGCUUGCACCAGUGAUUUGAAGCAGAGGCCAUUAUCUGCUAGCCAGCUUUGCUGAAGUGAUGCUGUUUUCUUUUGCCAGGUGCUCACUAAACCGACGUAAGACCCUAGAAGACGUCCUCCCCAGCUGGUUGACUCCAGUCAACACAACCCCACAGUAAAUAAAAGAAAAGGCUCCAGAGGAGUGGAGCAGAGAGCAUGGAGUUAGCCCGUCACCUGACAACUCAAUGAAAAUCCUGGCUGCUAAGCAUUGUAAUACAGGACCUCUGAGGGGCCAGAGAGUCUGGAUCAUUAUCUGGUUUGUUUCUGAAUUCAUAGUCUUAAAGUAAUUGAUCAGAUCUGUCUGUAUUGUUAAAAUAAGUCACCUACAGUCACAAUGGCUAUGUUUGCAUUGACUUUUUUCUAAAUGUGUGAUGUCAUCAUACUGUCAUUGUACUAUAACUUUCUAGAUUUUGGAAAUGCGCGUUCCAACCAUGGAACAUCAGGGGGCAGGCCAGUGCCACUUUGAUGCAAUUAAUAUCGUUCCAUGCAUACAAUUCAAGGGACGCAUUGCAAAGUCGUCUUUUUACUGAGACAGAAAUACACUUCCUUAUCUACUGUAAUCCAAAUUUAAAAUUCUGUGUUAAGAAAUGCAUAUUGCACUACAUCAAAACAAAUAACACAAGGGCCACUUACAUCUGUUAUAAACCCAGAUGUCCACGAUUAUGUAAGUAAAAUUGAAAUGGUUCUGUAAUUAUUAUAAAAUCUUACAAAGUUGAAUUAUUGGUACAUUCUUAUUAUGUUAUGCUAUAUGAAAUGUUAGUAUAGCUUCACCUUAAUUACUAUAAGAUGGCACCCACUGGCGCAGCACUUAGAAGUUUGUUGUAAACCCUUGCAAAAACAAAAAAGGUCUGGGCCAAGGAUUUCAGGAAUAAUAGCCUGACAAUCAUAGCUUGCUACCUUGGUUUUCGCUGUAAAUGUAGCCAACCUUAGUAUCUGUAAACCAUUUGUACUAUAGUUUUAUCAGAGGCUAUUGCAUUGUAUUUUUGUAGAUUUAUUGAAGGUUAUACCUAUCUGUCUUUGCAUAAUAUGUAGUGAUAAGUAAGUGUGCUAUGGAAUAUUUAGUAACAAAGGGUGCAGGUUGGACCAAUAUUAGAAACCUAACCUAACAGAUACCGUGAUUGUUUAAGUGACUUGCUCACCAUGGGCUAAUUCGUAGGAUACAACUGAUUUGAAACAUUGCAUAAGAACAUAAGAAAAUGUAUGAACAUGAGGAGGCCAUUCGACCCAUCUGAGCUUGUCCAGUUCCUAAUAGCUGAGUAAUGUCAGAACAUUGUCAUGUUGGGUCUUGUAUGAAGAAGUGUCUUCUUCCCUCUGCCCUUAAUCUAUCUCCAAUUCAUUUUCAGCUGUGUCCUCUGGUCCUUGUUUCUGUACUUACUAUUUUAAAGACUUCAAUCAUGUCCCCGUAAUUAUAUCACACUUGUGGUAAUCAUGACUUGAAGAUGUAACACUUGAUCAUCUCAUUUUUUUUUUUUUUUAUGUAACCCCUUAAAUGUAUAUUAUUAUAUAUAAAUUACAUCUCCCAAGCCAGUUUGUCAGGAUGGACAAGACAGCAGGUCUUUGAAGAGCUGGACAGAGGGUUGAUAAAAAUAUAUUUGAUGUUGUUCUUUGAACACCCUGGAAGCCACCGUAUUGACAGUGUUUUUUUUUUCUCCAUUCCCCAGAACUAUGAGAUAUGUACUGCUUUUAGUCAAACAUCAGUACACCAAAAGCUGUGCAACGUUGCUUAGAUUGUUUUUAUUAUUUUAAUGAAAAAAUAUAAAAUUUCAUAUCUUACACUACAAAAACAUGUACACAUCCAAAAUGCACACAGAGUUCCAGGAGGGAAACAAAAACAAUAAAUACAACAAAGCUAUUUAUUUUUUGAUACUUUAAAUCAUUAGAACUAGGUUAAAAGACUUUACAUGACAAAUGUGUCACUGCAGAUUUUUAACUAUUGAUCAUCAGUAUUGUGCAUUUUCCCUUGUAGAUAACAUGAAGUAUACCUAGCAUCAAAUGAAAAUUAUCACUAUUAUAACACAUGUAUUUUUUUUUUUUUAUAAGGUAU